GUGCUCACUUCGGCAGCAUAUAUACUAAAACUGGAUCGAUACAGAGAAGAUUAGCAUGACCCCUCUGCAAGGAUGACAUGUCAAUUCAUGAGGCAGUCCAUAAAAUA